rnacentral:rRNA from 1 species
GUUUGAUCAUGGCUCAGGAUGAACGCUAGCGGCAGGCCUAAUACAUGCAAGUCGAACGCUCAGUAGCAAUACUGGGAGUGGCGCACGGGUGCGUAACGCGUACACAAUCUACCUCUAAGCGGGGGACACCUCCUGGAAACGGGGAUUAAUACCGCAUAAUAUGCCGAAGUCGCAUGACUUUGGUAUUAAGGCAGCAAUGCACUUAGAGAUGAGUGUGCGUCCCAUUAGGUAGUUGGUGAGGUAACGGCUCACCAAGCCUAUGAUGGGUAGCCGGUCUGAGAGGAUGGUCGGCCACACGGGCACUGAGACACGGGCCCGACUCCUACGGGAGGCAGCAGUAAGGAAUAUUGGUCAAUGGUGGAAACACUGAACCAGCCAUGCCGCGUGGAGGAAUAAGGUCCUACGGAUUGUAAACUCCUUUUGACGAGGAAGAAAAUGUUAGAUUUAUCUAAUUUUGACGGUACUCGUAGAAUAAGCACCGGCUAACUCCGUG